rnacentral:rRNA from 1 species
UACGAAGGGGGCUAGCGUUGUUCGGAUUUACUGGGCGUAAAGCGCACGUAGGCGGAUCGUUAAGUCGGGGGUGAAAUCCUGGAGCUCAACUCCAGAACUGCCUUCGAUACUGGCGAUCUUGAGUCCGGAAGAGGUGAGUGGAACUCCUAGUGUAGAGGUGGAAUUCGUAGAUAUUAGGAAGAACACCAGUGGCGGAAGGCGGCUCACUGGUCCGGUACUGACGCUGAGGUGGCGGAAAGCGAUGGGGAGCA